rnacentral:rRNA from 1 species
AGCAGCCGCGGUAAUUCCAGCUCCAAUAGCGUAUAUUAAAGUUGUUGCAGUUAAAAAGCUCGUAGUUGAAUUUCGGGGUUCAUCCGUUGGUCGGGCUUUUUUGGUCUGUACUGGCGUGAUGGAUUCCUACCUUCUGAAUAACCAGCAUGUCAUUAAUUUGGUGCGCUGGGGAAGCAGGACUGUUACCUUGAAAAAUUAGAGUGCUUAAAGCAGGCUAUCGCCUGAAUACAUUAGCAUGGAAUAAUGAAAUAGGACGGCAUGGUUCUAUUUUGUUGGUUUCUAGGAUCACCGUAAUGAUUAAUAGGGAUAGUUGGGGGCAUUAGUAUUCAAUUGUCAGAGGUGAAAUUCUUGGAUUUAUUGAAGACUAACUUCUGCGAAAGCAUUUGCCAAGGAUGUUUUCAUUAAUCAAGAACGAAAGUUAGGGGAUCGAAGACGAUCAGAUACCGUCGUAGUCUUAACCAUAAACUAUGCCGACUAGGGAUCGGACGAUGUAAUUUUUAAUGACUCGUUCGGCGCCUUA